UGCGUGACCUCCACCACUGCUUAGGAGCUUUCUCGCAGGUGCGCUGCCUAUCCACAUCCCUGGCGAUACCCGGUGGUUGCACGGCAUUCAUCUAUGCCGCGACCGAGGAGGAGGCCCUGCAGGCUGCUACGGACACGCGGUCGUUGCCGUAGCUGGGGCGGAAGGUCAUCAGUCGUUUCAAUGAUAUUUAAUGGAUUCCAACAUCCCCAUCCUGUGUGCGAUGGGCUGCAAUCAAUACCAUUGGUCAGUUGUCUACGGAUUUGGGCCCAGAAGGUGCUACAUGCAUUGGUGAAUGCUAUAGAUGAUUUCCAUAAUCCAAGGGUUCAGAAACUGAGGAAGCUCUGAAAGUUGAUGAGGGUGCUCCAGUUGCCAAGAAACAGGGCGAGCAGAAUGGUACCCCAACAGCAGAUGAGAACAAAGAUAACAAGGAUGCUACUGCAAAUGAGGAAGAAAAGGAGGACAAUAAGUUGUGAUGAAGACUGAAUUUGAUGGAGAUCUCGUACAUGAAAUUGGACAAAGCCAACCAAUCAUUAUUAUCUUUGUUGGACAAUAAUGAAGAGAUAGAAAGGACCAACAUUUCUAAGUGGAAUUUCAGUGUGCCUUUGGUACAUAAAUGAAGAUAUUCCACAUAUCAAAGAGUUUUAUGCAAGGUAACACUCUUCCUUUCAUAUUAGCCUUAAUCUAAACUAACUGGAUACUAUAGAAAACUUUCAUAUUAUUUUAGAUAUCCCCUAAUUUAAUCAUCUAUACACAUAGGCUUCCAUCCAAGAUUGAACCCGUGAAGAAAAUAGAGUU